rnacentral:tRNA from 1 species
CGGGGUUUGGCGCAGUGGUAGCGCGCACGCCUGGGGGGCGUGAGGCCGCUGGUUCGAUCCCAGUAACCCCGACCA